AAAAAAAAAGAAAAAAAAGAAGGCAAUAUUACCCUCAUGAAUUAUUCCCAAUUGUUUUGGCUGUUGAAUUAUGGGACUUAUUUAAAGAAUUCAUUUGUCAUAUUCCAAUCUGAUAGUACAGCUGUUUAUUGCAUAUUGUAAACUUAACAAACACCAGAAAAUUCAUUUUUUUUUAAAGAAGAUUAUUGUUGGUUCUUUACAAUAUUUUGGGUAAAGAGUGCUUGUGGAUAUUUAAGAUUACAAAUCUAUAUUUUUCAACUCUCCAAACAUAGCCCGUAUUUCUUUUUAGAUUCCGCUUUAGCUCUUAUUGCAAAGUAAGUGUACGGGCAUGCUCUAAAUUGUUUUAAGGGUUUCAUUCAGGGUGAUCAAUAGACCAAGUGCAUUAAAGUGAUCUCCUUGGGACAGGAUUAUAUGUCUUAUGUCUUACCUGUACCUAUUCAGUUUAGGAAAAUCAGCUAGCUCUAUAUCACUUGGCAGCAUGGAUAUACUAUUUUUAAAUGCGAAACACCCCCGAUUUCUUGAAUCGUUUGUUAAUCAGUAAAAUGUUAAGUGGAGCAAAAAAGUUUGCUAGGUCAGUUGAUGCGUGCAGCCUAUUACUUUUAAUAUUCGAAAUAAAAAAAAAAAUAGUGACAAUACCAUAGAUAGCCAAUUCUUAGUAACGGACAUGUUGCUACAGGGUUAUGUUCCUUUUUGUAAUUUAUCUUUGCUGAGAGGAAGGGAAAUCGCGGUUCAUUCAGACUCAAACCCAUAUUUGCUGCUUUGAGGAAAUAUACCUUUUCAGGCACGACAACAAGGGAGUUUAAAGGAGUCUUACAAUGAAUCAACUUUCAAUACAAUUUAGGUAAAAUAAAAGUCUAUCUAGAAAUAAAAUUCCAGCCCAAUUGCAGUAGGUGAAAUUAGCUGCAAAGGACCCCUUUUUGCUACAGCAACACCCUGGCACAUUUUUUAGUGUUUUUAAGACUCACAAAAUGAGAUAUGGGAUGGUUGCAACUGGUGUCAUUCCAGAGAACAUUAAGGUUCCUAUUUUCCCGCCUAUUAGUACAUAUAUGUUUUCAUUUAGGGUGGUAGAAAGUCCGAUUGUAAAGGAUAAAUGGUUGAGAAAGUAUCCCUUAUUCUGUAUUAUUUGAAUGUAUUAAAUACCUAGAUAGAGGAUUCUGUCUGAGGCGGUAUCCUCUAUUUUUCUGCAUCUUUUUUUAAAAUUUAAUUGUUAAUACUAUAACCUCAUAAAAGCGUCAAUUUCAUGCUUUAAAUAUCAUAAUAAUGCAUGAGAAAGCUUAACAUUGCAUAGUUUAUCUACCUUCACUUUAUACUACACUUACAUACAGGUACACAAAGUAUUCGGUGACUGUCUGAGGCGGCACUGAAUACAUUCGUUGUUGAGUAUCAUAUCGAGAAUUGUAUUAAUAUUUCAUAUCAUUUUGAAUUAUUUAAAUGCUUUUGUCAAGAUAUGCAACUAUUCUAUUCCUGCUACGUACGUUAAUGACUUUCUCGAGUUGUGUAUGAAUUUAUCUGCCUUCACUUUAUACUAAUAUACACUUGCAUACAGGUACAUGAAGUAUUCGGUGACUGUCUGAGGCGGCACUGAAUAUAUAUUCGUUGUUGAGUAUCAUAUCGAGGAUUGUAUUAAUAUUUCAUAUCAUUUUGAAUUAUUUAAAUGCUUUUGUCAAGAUAUGCAAUAAUUCUAUUCCUGGUACGUACGUUAAUGACUUUCGAGUUGUGUAUGAAUUUAUCUGUCUUCACUUUAUAAACUUACAUACAUGUACACGAAGUAUUCGGUGACUGUCUUAGGCGGCACUGAAUAUAUUCGUUGUUCGGUAUCAUAUCGAGGAUUGUAUAAAUAGUUUAUAUCUCUUUGAAUUAUUUCCAUGUUUUUGUCAAGAUAUGCAAUAAUUCUAUUCCUGGUUGGUACGUUAAUGACUUUCGAUUAUGUAUUUAUUUUAUCUUAGUUAAUAUUUUUAUUAUCCAUCCUUAGAAUUCCAUUGAUCUAUGUUGUGAAUAGUUUUGUUAGUGUUUACAUCGUUAUCAAGCUGUAUACAUUACGUAAUUGAAGCACAUUUUUGGGUGGGGCGAGGGACCCUUCUCUGUACGUUCAUUGUCCCUCUUGUGGGAUGUUUUUGGGCCCCACCUUCUGCUGCAUUCUGAUAUUGUAAAAUCUGUAAUCUCAUUUGGCAUUUGUAAUAAAUGCUCUAUACACACACACACCCUCUUUAUUAUUUAACAUGCUGCAGAACAGAGCUGCAAAUGUGCUUCAGGUUCACAUGAACCGAAUUGUUCAUCAGUUUCAGUAUUUAAGAGCACAUAAGUGUAUUUAUGUAUAUAAAGGAAUUUAUGUGAUCUAAAUACGUAAUAAAUUGCAUAUUUUUAUUAAUUACCAAUUUGUUUGAAAUCAUGGGUCCCGAAGGGUUUUCCGGGUUUUAUACUUAUGCGUCCUCUAGUAACGGCUAUUAGCCUUAUCCUUAUCAGAAUAAAAUUUCGGCUCCAAAAUGUGGUUUACAAAUUUUACCCACCACCACCCCUUCAAUCCUCCAUAAUUAUUGUUAUUGUAGAAAAUACAUGUACUAGUUUCUUUUAUAUAAGGUGCCUAUUGUUAUUGCAUGACUUUUGUACUUAUUGUUAAUUUUGUAGAAAAUAUAUGUACUAGUUUUCUUUUGUAUAAGGUGUGGGAUGUUUUUGGGCCCCACCUUCUGCUGCAUUCUGAUAUUGUAAAAUCUGUAAUCUCAUUUGGCAUUUGUAAUAAAUGCUCUAUACAAACACAAA